rnacentral:rRNA from 1 species
UACGUAGGUGGCAAGCGUUGUCCGGAUUUACUGGGCGUAAAGCGUUUCGUAGGUGGGUUCAUAAGUUAUUUUUCAAAGCCCAAGGCUCAACCUUGGAAAGGGAGAUAAUACUGUGAGUCUUGACUACUGAUGGGGUAUCUGGAACUGAUGGUGUAGUAGUGAAAUACGUUGAUAUCAUCAGGAACUCCAAGGGCGAAGGCAGGAUACUAACCAGGCAGUGGCACUGAGGAACGACAGCUAGGGGAGCGAAAGGG